GAUGAACGCUGGCGGCGUGCCUAAUACAUGCAAGUCGAGCGAACGGACGAGAAGCUUGCUUCUCUGAUGUUAGCGGCGGACGGGUGAGUAACACGUGGAUAACCUACCUAUAAGACUGGGAUAACUUCGGGAAACCGUAGCUAAUACCGGAUAAUAUUUUGAACCGCAUGGUUCAAAAGUGAAAGACGGUCUUGCUGUCACUUAUAGAUGGAUCCGCGCUGCAUUAGCUAGUUGGUAAGGUAACGGCUUACCAAGGCAACGAUGCAUAGCCGACCUGAGAGGGUGAUCGGCCACACUGGAACUGAGACACGGUCCAGACUCCUACGGGAGGCAGCAGUAGGGAAUCUUCCGCAAUGGGUGAAAGCCUGACGGAGCAACGCCGCGUGAGUGAUGAAGGUCUUCGGAUCGUAAAACUCUGUUAUUAGGGAAGAACAUAUGUGUAAGUAACUGUGCACAUCUUGGCGGUACCUAAUCAGAAAGCCACGGCUAACUACGUG
rnacentral:rRNA from 1 species